rnacentral:rRNA from 1 species
GACGAACGCUGGCGGCGUGCCUAACACAUGCAAGUCGAACGGAGUAAAGACUUCGGUUUUUACUUAGUGGCGAACGGGUGAGUAACGCGUGAGAAACCUGCCUUUCAGUGGGGGACAACAGUUGGAAACGACUGCUAAUACCGCAUAAUGUUAUUUGGGGGCAUCCCUGAAUAACCAAAGAUUUAUUGCUGAAAGAUGGUCUCGCGUCUGAUUAGCUAGUUGGUGAGGUAACGGCUCACCAAGGCGACGAUCAGUAGCCGGUCUGAGAGGAUGAGCGGCCACAUUGGGACUGAGAUACGGCCCAGACUCCUACGGGAGGCAGCAGUGGGGAAUAUUGGGCAAUGGGGGAAACCCUGACCCAGCAACGCCGCGCGAAGGAAGAAGGCCUUCGGGUUGUAAACUUCUUUUACCAGGGACGAACAAAUGACGGUACCUGGAGAAAAAGCGACGACUAACUACGUGCCAGCAGCCGCCGUAACAC